GAAGUAAAAGUCGUAACAAGGUUUCCGUAGGUGAACCUGCGGAAGGAUCAUUAAUGAUUGCGAAUGGUCACCUUCAGUGCUGGCUCGCAAGAGCAAGUGCACGUCGGUGGCUUUCAUCCAAUUCCACACCCUGUGAACCUUUGGCCUCUUGCGAGCUUCGGCUGGCAGAGGAUUUUACAUAUACUCGAAUGUAAUGAAAACUAUUGUUGUGCGCAAGCACUAUUAUAUACAACUUUCAACAACGGAUCUCUUGGCUCUCGCAUCGAUGAAGAACGCAGCGAAAUGCGAUAAGUAAUGUGAAUUGCAGAAUUCAGUGAAUCAUCGAAUCUUUGAACGCACCUUGCACCCUUUGGAAUUCCGAAGGGUAUGCUCGUUUGAGUGUCAUUGUACUCUCACACUCUCCGAUCCUGUGGAUUUGGGGAGCGGUGGACUUGGGUGCUUGCUGCUUUUCUUGUGGCUCACCUCAAAUGCGUCAGUGCAUCUCUUGGUUGGACAUAGUACGGCGUGAUAAGUGUCUUCGCCGGCGCCUCAUCAUAAGAGGGUGGCCAAUUGGGAGCUCUGUGCUUUCCAACCGUCUUCGGACACUCUCUGACAACUUGACCUCAAAUCGAGUAGGACUACCCGCUGAACUUAAGCAUAU
rnacentral:rRNA from 1 species